UCUGAAUGAUGGAAUAGAUGAAGUCCAUGUUGGUGAACCCACUUUCUUAGCAAUCUUAAUAAGAAUUAGGGAAAACCAUCCAAACCCAGAAGAGCUGGAAGAUGUUCAAGUGAAGGAGUGAAAACAAAUGCCCUCGCUGCCCCGUCCUGGCUGAGCUGUGUUUCACACCGAGCUCCCUAGGAAACCCGUUGCUGGUGUUUCUGGAUGAGCCAACCAUGGAGAUGGACCCCGCAGGGCAGCAGCAGAUAUUUGGAGGGUCAUAUUAAGUAUCAGAGUCAAAACUGUAAGUCUAGUUAUUUAUUUACUUUUUUACAUUUGCUCCAUUAACCUUUGAGGAUCACAUCCUCUAUUAUUUAAUUCAGUGAAACUCAAUAUAGUAUUCAAAAUUCCUCAAGGAAGAAAAAAAUAAACAUUUUUAAGAAUCAGAUAGACUCUUGGAUGUAUUGGACUGAACUUUGUUUCUCUUAAUCCUCUUCCCUACUUCUUUCUUCAAUUUUUCCGUUACUGAAAAUCCUACAAUGUGGUUUCUCUAUAUCCCAACUUAUGUUACUUUGAAAAAAAAACAUUUUACUAUUUCCCAAUCUACUUUUCAUUCUAUGAAGCCAAGUAGUGUGGUAAUAUAAUUACAUAAUUCAGUACAAUUUCUAUUCUUUCUCUCUAGAGCAAAGAUUUUUUUCUUGCAACUUAGUUUAAAAUUUUAUAUUCAGUCAUUAUUCCCAUUCAUCUAUUUUCCUAAGUAACUUUCUAAAUGUAAACAAUCCCUUACUUUACCUUUAGGCAGGCAAUUCAGACCAUUGUUAAAAACACGGAGAGGGGCGCCCUCCUGGC